AUUCUCAACUACUCGACUAGACGACAUCUUGUGAAAACUCUUGACAGGCUGUCAAUUAAAUGUCAUCAGUACCCAAUGACUGCUUUUGGCUGUGUUUCAUGAGAAAGAAGAAAUUGGAGAUCAUUAAAGAAAUCAAUAUUUAAAUUAAAUUUCAAACAAGUCGACUUUAAUUUAGAAAUAAAAAAUAUAUAUUAUACCAUUUUCAAAUUAUUUUCUAAGUCUUGUUGCUACCUAUUCUCACAGUAGAAUAAAUAAAGAGAAAUGGUCUUGCCUUGCGCUGGAGUUACACUAUCAAGAAUUUGCUUUCAAGUUGAUCACACAAACUAAACUUGAUAAACAGAAAAUUUCUAGUGCAUUUGCAUUUUGGGCACAAUUACGACUAUUUGGCGCCGCAAUCUUUUUGUAUGGAUGGACAGCGGAGGUCCUUAGCAUUAAAAAAAAUGUAUACGCAUAUACCCGCCUCAGGUUUAUAGUUUUCAAUAUAUUUGUAUUUAAAGUUCAACCAAGGAUGACACUUGGUUCAACAAUUGUAAAGUAAUGCAUACUCACAGUUUCAAGAAAUUUGUGUGUUUACCAGUAUUGCCACAUUCUGUGUUGUGAAAAAUUAAUGAAAAAAUUUUCUGGUUAUCAUAUAAAGGGACAAUGGUUCAAAAUUAA